ACGUAGGGUGCGAGCGUUAAUCGGAAUUACUGGGCGUAAAGCGUGCGCAGGCGGCUUUGCAAGACAGAUGUGAAAUCCCCGGGCUCAACCUGGGACCUGCAUUUGUGACUGCAAGGCUAGAGUACGGUAGAGGGGGAUGGAAUUCCGCGUGUAGCAGUGAAAUGCGUAGAGAUGUGGAGGAACACCGAUGGCGAAGGCAGCCUCCUGGGCCAGCACUGACGCUCAUGCACGAAAGCGUGGGGAGCAAACAGGA
rnacentral:rRNA from 1 species